AUCUACGGCCAUGCCACCCUGAACGUGCCCGAUCUUGUCUGAUCUCAGAAGCUAAGCAGGAUCAGGCCUGGUUAGUACUUGGAUGGGAGACCACCUAGGAAGACCAGGUGCUGUGGGUU
rnacentral:rRNA from 1 species